CUCUAGGUAGAUGUGCAAAGAUGCCAUCAGUUCACAUAGUGACCUUAAGGAUCGCAUCAAGACUGCUGAAAGGCUGACCAACCCCUUCCUUCAUAGCUGGAACUGGAAAUAACCCCAAAAGAUCCAUUUGACUGCUGUGUAAAUAUCAGAAUAAGAACAAACACCGAGAGGAGUGGUGGUUGAUGUUUCAGACCUUGAUGCCACAUCCCGGUCGGUGUCAAUGGGACCCAGCACCACCGAGUCGCAGCCGGUUCCCCGGUCCCGGGCGCAGCGGACGGCAGCAAUGGGCGUUAAAUAAAGGGUCCUCAGCACACGCCGUGGGACUAGGGAUCCUGCCUGGGAUCCACCGAUCCUCCUCUAGUCCAUCCCUGGAAACAUAGAAUCAUAGAAUCAUAGAAUGGUUUGGGUUGGAAGGGACCUCAAAGACCAUCUAGUUCCAACCCCCCUGCCAUGGGCAGGGACACCCUCCACUAGACCACGUUGCCCAAAGCCCCAUCCAACUUGGCCUUGAACACUUCCAGGGAUGGAGCAUCCACAACCUCUCUGGGCAACCUGUUCCAGUGCCUCACCACCCUCACAGUAAAGAAUUUCUUCCUAAUAUCUAAUCCAAAUGUACCUUCCUUUAGUUUAAAGCCAUUACCCCUUGUCCUAUCGCUCCAUGCCCUUGUAAACAGUCCCUCCCCAGCUUUCCUGUAGGCCCCUUCAGGUACUGGAAGGCUGCUGUAAGGUGUCCCUGGAGCCUUCUCUUCUCCAGGCUGAACAACCCCAACUCUCUCAGCCUGUCUUCAUAGGGGAGGUGCUCCAGCCCUUUGAUCACAUGUUGCCUUGUGCACUGGGGAGCUGAUGACCUGUACUGGUGGUGAAGCAUGCAUGAGGCACUAAAAAAGCCGAACCCUGGAAGGUCUGGUUAGCUUCAAGCACCAAAACCUGCCUGUCACAGUCCUGUUCCCUGAGUGCUUAACUGCGAAGCUGGGUUGAGGACAGUCCAA